AGGAUGAACGCUGGCGGCGUGCCUAAUACAUGCAAGUCGAGCGAACGAGAAGCUUGCUUCUCUGAUGUUAGCGGCGGACGGGUGAGUAACACGUGGAUAACCUACCUAUAAGACUGGGAUAACUUCGGGAAACCGGAGCUAAUACCGGAUAAUAUUUUGAACCGCAUGGUUCAAAAGUGAAAGACGGUCUUGCUGUCACUUAUAGAUGGAUCCGCGCUGCAUUAGCUAGUUGGUAAGGUAACGGCUUACCAAGGCAACGAUGCAUAGAACCGACCUGAGAGGGUGAUCGGCCACACUGGAACUGAGACACGGUCCAGACUCCUACGGGAGGCAGCAGUAGGGAAUCUUCCGCAAUGGGCGAAAGCCUGACGGAGCAACGCCGCGUGAGUGAUGAAGGUCUUCGGAUCGUAAAACUCUGUUAUUAGGGAAGAACAUAUGUGUAAGUAACUGUGCACAUCUUGACGGUACCUAAUCAGAAAGCCACGGCUAACUACGUGCCAGCAGCCGCGGUAAUACGUAGGUGGCAAGCGCCGGAAUUAUUGGGCGUAAAGCGCGCGUAGGCGGUUUUUUAAGUCUGAUGUGAAAGCCCACGGCUCAACCGUGGAGGGUCAUUGGAAACUGGAAAACUUGAGUGCAGAAGAGGAAAGUGGAAUUCCAUGUGUAGCGGUGAAAUGCGCAGAGAUAUGGAGGAACACCAGUGGCGAAGGCGACUUUCUGGUCUGUAACUGACGCUGAUGUGCGAAAGCGUGGGGAUCAAACAGGAUUAGAUACCCUGGUAGUCCACGCCGUAAACGAUGAGUGCUAAGUGUUAGGGGGUUUCCGCCCCUUAGUGCUGCAGCUAACGCAUUAAGCACUCCGCCUGGGGAGUACGACCGCAGGUUGAAACUCAAUAGGAAUUGACGGGGACCCGCACAAGCGGUGGAGCAUGUGGUUUAAUUCGAAGCAACGCGAAGAACCUUACCAAAUCUUGACAUCCUUUGACAACUCUAGAGAUAGAGCCUUCCCCUUCGGGGGACAAAGUGACAGGUGGUGCAUGGUUGUCGUCAGCUCGUGUCGUGAGAUGUUGGGUUAAGUCCCGCAACGAGCGCAACCCUUAAGCUUAGUUGCCAUCAUUAAGUUGGGCACUCUAAGUUGACUGCCGGUGACAAACCGGAGGAAGGUGGGGAUGACGUCAAAUCAUCAUGCCCCUUAUGAUUUGGACACACGUGCUACAAUGGACAAUACAAAGGGCCAGCGAAACCGCGAGGUCAAGCAAAUCCCAUAAAGUUGUUCUCAGUUCGGAUUGUAGUCUGCAACUCGACUACAUGAAGCUGGAAUCGCUAGUAAUCGUAGAUCAGCAUGCUACGGUGAAUACGUUCCCGGGUCUUGUACACACCGCCCGUCACACCACGAGAGUUUGUAACACCCGAAGCCGGUGGAGUAACCUUUUAGGAGCUAGCCGUCGAAGGUGGGACAAAUGAUUGGGGUG
rnacentral:rRNA from 1 species